GCUUAUUCUCAGGGCGGGGCGAAAUUCCCCACCGGCGGUAAAUCAGUUUUUCUGUCCAUACUCUUUUUCGCGUUGCGGCAAAGCGGCGUGAAAGACGAAGGACAAACUGAAAGCCCGCGAGCGCUUCAGAUUAUCUCUGAAGGUCAGCAGAUCCGGUGAAAUUCCGGGGCCGACGGUUAAAGUCCGGAUGGGAGAGAGUAACG
rnacentral:ncRNA from 2 species